rnacentral:rRNA from 1 species
UAGCAAUACCGAAGAAAGUCUAGUGGCGAACGGGUGCUUAACACGUGGGCAACCUGCCAAGAAGUGGGGGAUAGCUCGCCGAAAGGCGAAUUAAUACCGCAUGUGAUUAGAAAGGACAUCCUUUCAAAAUUAAAGUCGGGGCAACCUGACGCUUUUUGUGGGGCCCGCGGCCUAUCAGCUAGUUGGUGAGGUAAUGGCUCACCAAGGCUUUGACGGGUAGCUGGUCUGAGAGGACGACCAGCCACACUGGGACUGAGACACGGCCCAGACACCUACGGGUGGCAGCAGUCGAGAAUUUUUGACAAUGGGGGAAACCCUGAUCGAGCGACGCCGCGUGGAGGAUGAAGGUCUUCGGAUUGUAAACUCCUGUCAUUGGGGAACAAGGUGCAUACGUUAACUGCGUGUGCAUUGAUAGUACCCGAAGAGGAAGAGACGGCUAACUCUGUGCCAGCAGCCGCGGUAAUACAGAGGUCUCAAGCGUUGUUCGGAUUCAUUGGGCGUAAAGGGUGCGUAGGCGGCGCGGUAAGUCGGGUGUGAAAUCUCGGAGCUUAACUCCGAAACUGCAUUCGAUACUGCCGUGCUUGAGGACUGGAGAGGAGACUAGAAUUCACGGUGUAGCA